UCACAUAUGAACGUUCAUUUCAGCUCUUCAUAAGGUGUCACGGGAAGGGCCAUAACCCAGACCUAAGAAUAGUGUUAACAGGCAGUAGUUCUGUUUCUCCUCCAAGGUCAGUGCUGAGGCCCAGAAGUAAUCCGAGAGCACUCAAAGAGGAAGGAGAAUUUGGGGGAACAAAAGUAGCCAACCUAAUGGCCAGUGGACCCAUCUGAGCCAGAAAUCUCUCUACCGCACACUUUUCUCUGUUGCAUGUGUUAAGAUUUAUUUGUGAAAGAAGCUACUGUUACCUUCUUCCUCCUCUGGCAUGUGAAUCUGACCUCACUCCAUCACAAAGGCUUCUGUCACAACAUGAAGCUCUCUGUCGGGAAAUACCUUUGCAUCUGAUGGCUUUGAAAUGAAUUGCCAACAGUCAGGUGGGAAAGAGGAGAGCUGGGGCAGGUAUCUCAGCACCAAGAGACCCAGACAUCACAGAUCCCAGCAGCAUUCCAACAGGAACAGAGAGGCACUUCCAGAGUUGGGAAACAAGACUCUUCCAACUAGAAAAAAAAAUUAGUUUAAACUUUAGCUCCAAAUCACCACACUAGCUGCCCCAGAGAGUCAGCCAGGCUCUCAGUGGAAAUAACUGGUGGGCAAGGGUUAAUAUCUAUACCCUGAAAAUCUCAUCUGUCUCUGCCAUGAUGGACAGGUCCAUGUCAAGACAAGGAAUGAAUCACUGUGCUCCUGCCCCCAGAUGGCUUACUUCUUUAAGCCUCUUCUAUCACUGCAGAAAAGAUGGAUAAAUUAAGAUUUCGAAAAAGGAACUGUCAAAGCAAAUGUACGUAGAGUUUAGUGGCAGAGCCAGGAGUAGAAUCCAGGUGCCCUGACUUGGGCCUAGAACUUCUCAGCAGCACACCACCAUGGGAAGAUGGUGUGAGAAGUUUGGACCAGUAACCCUUUUUCAGGGCCAGAUCUUCUUGCCAUUCAAGUAAAGACCAGCCUUUGGUGGAAGAGGUUGUUUGACCCCUGGGGAGCUUCCACCCACCUCCGCAGGUCUGCCCACAGAAGGAAUCUACUCCACACUGGGGUUUCAUUACCAAAUUCUGGGGAGCUGUUCAUAAUGAAGACGGUGUCGAAGAAAAGAAUGGCCAGGGAGAAGGGGCUAAUGUAUUUGAAAUUCUAAUUCUGAAAGAUGAGAAAAAGGGAAUUAUGAGAGAAUGGUAAUCCUAACGAACAAUAUUGUCUAGAGGCAACUGUUAGACAUGAGUCUAGGUCCCUUUCAUAGGCCGAGUUCUGAGAUUGGAAGUGAAAUCCUUCCCAAAUCUGGAGACCUUCUUGUAUGAGUUGGGAGACGGACAGUCAGACUGCGAUCCUAAAGUCUGGCUCACAGAAGGACUUGGGAGUUGAGCGGAAAGUGUGAAAUCCUACAAUAACUGUAUCAUUGUGCCAGACAGAGCCUCCUUUGUCUCUGUAAGCUAUCUGACUUUCCCAUAGGGUUCCUUUCCCCAAACAUGCCUCAAAUUGUGUUGCUUAAUGAAAAAUGCUGCUCAGGACAAGGUAGUUUUCACCAACGGUCAUACAUGGUGGACAUUCUAGUAAUUCUAGUCCUAUGGGAGAGCAGGCGGGGCUUAGGCAGCUUGGGAAAAUGAGUUCUGAGAGUGGCACCCAGAAAACUGCCCGGCUGGUGGGGCAGAGAGAACGGGUCAUAUGUCAGCCCAUGUCCUCUGCAAGCCUCUCCAAUGCAUCUUGAAAAUGCCACGGCCCCUGAAACCCAUGCAAUUGUUUUGCUUCUGGUCUAAGUAUAAAUCUUUUAAUUGCGUGUCCUAAGCCUUGAGACAUUUAUGUGGAAUUGUUUUGGGGGGAAAAAAAGAAAGGAAGGAAGAAAGGAAGGAAGGAAGAAACUUGCUGGCAGUCAAGCGAUCUGCAUUUCAUUUCAAUUUAGAUAGUUUUGCUAUACAGUUUUUUCCCAAGGUUUCCUGGAUUUCAAUAAUAUAUCUUUCAUCACCAGAUCACCAAAAACUGGUUGUGUUGAGCUGUCCCUGGGGCUUUGGAGUGCAUAUCAGGGAUUACUUUAUAAGUGGGAACUUAUGAAUUGUAUUGGGUUUACAAAUGACUUGUUUUUCUCAGUUUAAUGGUCAAACCAUGAAACCGAUAACUUAUUCCUGGAAGGGUAUGUGUAUGAUAUGUUAAUGGGUCUUUGAGAACGGGAUUAAAAUGCAAUCAACACAUACACACACACACACACACACACAAACCCCAAGUUUUAAAUAAGACAUUUACUGAGUAGAUAAGCUCUGACUGCUAUGAAAUGCCGGCUUAAAGUGUCCAUUUUAAUGUGUUCAUACAUCUCUCUACCCUUGACCAACUGCUCUAAGAACAUUGGGGCUGACUUAUAAAAACUCUUGGCAGCAAUCAUUUAACCUUGCAACCCGAGCAAGGCAUUGUGCACCUCAGUGGACUUCUGGCAGGAACCAACAGCAAGUGGAGAAGCCCUGAGUUCCAGUGCUCGCUGACCUGUAUGGUGGAAGUUGCUGGGUGCUGAAGGUGGUGGGUACGGAAGGACAAGUGAGCAUGGCACCUUUCUGAGCACAUCAGUUUUAUUUCCCAACAGUCUGAUGGCUGUAGCAGGGCAGGGGGGGCCGAUAGGUGUGUGUGUGUGGGGGGGGGAGUUUCUACAAAAGACAAGUUUGGAUUUCCACUUUAUAGGAAUGAAGGAUCCUGUGCUUGCCAAAUUGCAAAGGCAUAGAAAUAUCCCAGGCGGGGAGCAGGGAAUUCAGCUGCAGCCUUUGGAGUGGAGGUGAUUUAUGGCAGGCCAAAGGAAGAGUCCAGGUCCACACAGUGAGGGAGGUGGGAAUUGAGAAGGCAGACCAGGAAAAUGUUAAGAAGCACUGAAAUUUUCCUGCCUGUCCAAACGCUGUCUCAGUAUAACAUUGUGGGGAGUUGGGUGUAAAUGAAUCAGAAACAUAUGGAUUAAACUUCCCUCCAUGGGUGGAGGGGGGGAUGGUGGGAAAUAAUGAUUGUCAAACUGGGGGUGUGGAUGAUUCUAAUGUGAACCCACUUGAAGAAUCUCCCAGCUGACUGACAGAUGAACGUUCUCCUCAUGAUGGCCUCUCUCCAGUUUUGGAGGACACUUACACUGAAAGCUGAUAGUCAAAACUGCCUCUUUAAUUCCCAAGAUGAUAGAUGUUCUGGUGUUCACUGCGUAUCCCUUCCUGUACCCUCCACCUCCAAGGCCACCUCCAAACUGUAAGUAAGGUCUUUCCAUUGCCUUCCUAGGACACCCCUUGGCUGCCACUGCUCUUCCCCUUUCAGGUUUGGUGGCUUUUUAGCCCAGUGAUUUUACUGGUAAUUCCCUUCCCACCCCCACCCCCACAAAGAUAUAGAUUAAGAAUGCGUAUUGUUUAAAGUUGUAGCAUCAUUUCCCUGCCACAUGCAUUCUACGUGUGACAAUUUUGGUUAAUGUUAAAAACAAUAGGGGCACCUGGGUGGCUGGGGCACCUGAAUAACUCAAUGGUUGGGCCUCUGCCAUCGGCCCAGGGCAUGAUCCCGGGGUCCUUGGAUCAGUCCCACAUUGGACUCCCUGCAUGGAGCCUGCUUCUCCCUUUGCCUGUGUCUCUGCCUCUCUCUCU